rnacentral:rRNA from 1 species
CAGCCGCCGCGGGAAAACGGAGGGAGCUAGCGUUGUUCGGAAUUACUGGGCGUAAAGCGCGCGUAGGCGGUUACUCAAGUCAGAGGUGAAAGCCCGGGGCUCAACCCCGGAACUGCCUUUGAAACUAGGUGACUAGAAUCUUGGAGAGGUCAGUGGAAUUCCGAGUGUAGAGGUGAAAUUCGUAGAUAUUCGGAAGAACACCAGUGGCGAAGGCGACUGACUGGACAAGUAUUGACGCUGAGGUGCGAAAGCGUGGGGAGCAAACAGGAUUAGAUACCCGCGUAGUCCCUGUCUCUUAUAA